AACGGCGAGUGAAGCGGCAACAGCUCAAAUUUGAAACCUGCCAACCGGCCGGAUUGUAAUUUGCAGAGGAUGCUUUGGGAAAGGUACUGAUCUAAGUUUCUUGGAACAGAACGUCACAGAGGGUGAGAAUCCCGUCCGUGGUCGGCCGCCUGCCCCGUGUAAAGCUCCUUCGACGAGUCGAGUUGUUUGGGAAUGCAGCUCUAAAUGGGUGGUAAAUUUCAUCUAAAGCUAAAUAUUGGCCAGAGACCGAUAGCGCACAAGUAGAGUGAUCGAAAGAUGAAAAGCACUUUGGAAAGAGAGUUAAACAGCACGUGAAAUUGUUGAAAGGGAAGCGCUUGCAACCAGACUUGGGCGCGGGUACUCAGGAGCGGUUCGCCGUUCUGUAUUUGCCCGCGCGCAGGCCAGCAUCAGUUUUGGGGGUGGGAUAAAGGCCGUAGGAACGUGGCUCUUCGGAGUGUUAUAGCCUACGGUGCCAUGCCACCUCCCGAGACUGAGGACCGCGCUUCGGCUAGGAUGCUGGCGUAAUGGUUGUAAGCGACCCGUCUUGAAACACGGACCAAGGAGUCUAACAUCUAUGCGAGUGUUUGGGUGUCAAACCCACACGCGGAAUGAAAGUGAACGGAGGUGAGAGCCCUUAAGGGUGCAUCAUCGACCGAUCCUGAUGUCUUCGGAUGGAUUUGAGUAUGAGCAUAGCUGUUGGGACCCGAAAGAUGGUGAACUAUGCCUGAAUAGGGUGAAGCCAGAGGAAACUCUGGUGGAGGCUCGCAGCGGUUCUGACGUGCAAAUCGAUCGUCAAAUUUGGGUAUAGGGGCGAAAGACUAAUCGAACCAUCU
rnacentral:rRNA from 1 species